CCCGGGUCUUGUACACACCGCCCGUCACACCAUGGAAGCCGGUUCCGCCUUAAGCCGUAUCGCCAACCGCAAGGGGGCAUACGACCACGGCAGGGUCGGUGACUGGGGUG
rnacentral:rRNA from 1 species